AUACUUACCUGGCGAAGGGGAUACCGUGAACAUGCAGACGGUUCCCCCAGGGCGAGGCUGCUCCAUUGCACUGCAGAGUGGUUGACCCUUGCGAUUAUUUUUAUUUUUGUUUUUAUCAAUA
rnacentral:snRNA from 9 species